rnacentral:lncRNA from 1 species
CUGUAAGAUAUCGAAAAAUUAGUUGUUAUAAUUCAGUUGAAGCUCUUCACAUCUGUAAAAGUACUCUCACAAACUCUGUACGUCUACCAAUUUAAAAAAAAAAAAAAAGCAAGGGGGCCAAAAAAUUGAGACCAUUAUAUCAUAGGUUUCCCCUUUUACUUACNUGCCAAAAAAUUGAGACCAUUAUAUCAUAGGUUUCCCCUUUUACUUACAGUAGCCAACCUAAUCCAUCGAAGUAUGGGAACAUUAGUUUGUCAAACUUAGCAAACUUUAAUGUAAGGAUAUUUACC